UACGAAGGGGGCUAGCGUUGCUCGGAAUGACUGGGCGUAAAGGGCGCGUAGGCGGACGGCUUAGUCAGGCGUGAAAGUCCUGGGCUUAACCUGGGGACUGCGCUUGAUACUGGAUGGCUAGAGUGGGGAAGAGGGUCGUGGAAUUCCCGGUGUAGAGGUGAAAUUCGUAGAUAUUGGGAAGAACACCGGUGGCGAAGGCGGCGUCCUGGUCCGUGACUGACGCUGAGGCGCGAAAGCGAGGGGAGCAAACAGG
rnacentral:rRNA from 1 species